rnacentral:misc_RNA from 1 species
CAGCCUUUUCAAUAACCUUAUGACAGGUACUUGGAUCCUGGAGCAACCACAAAAGACAGUCAAUUGCCAUAUACUGCCAGUCAUCCGAUGAGCGAGCUAUAUUGCACAAUGCCUCUAUAAUACCAGGACAUGCAGCAACAGGCCCUCUACCAAGCUUGUGAUGGCAAAUUGUCCUUAACAGACCGAUUCCAGCAGGGGAGUUUUCAUUAACAAGUCCACCCCACAUUCCUGGAAGCUUUGCUAGAAAUUCUGGCUUGCAAAUAGUAGGAAGAAAUUCAGGUUUGAAAGCAAAGCAAUUAAUAAGCUGAAGGGACCAACAUUGUAGCUGACUGGCCCAUUCUUCUGCCUUCCUGGACUCCAUUUCAACUCCACCCAUACCACGCGUAAGAAGGUCGCAAUGAUAACUAAGUCUUCUAUCAACAUAUUGGUAAAAGUGAGAGUAAACAAUUUCAAGAGAACUCAUAGCGAGUUGGAUGGAGAGCUCUAGAAUCUCACCGUGACUUGCAACAGCUGGAAAGGUGCUGGCAUAGGUAGCUAAG